rnacentral:rRNA from 1 species
UUUGCCUAUGGGACGCAGCAGUGAGGAAUAUUGGUCAAUGGGCGGGAGCCUGAACCAGCCAAGUCGCGUGAGGGAAGAAGGUACUGAGUAUUGUAAACCUCUUUUGCCAGGGGACAAAGGCGGCCACGGGUGGCCGUAAGAGGGUACCUGGAGAAAAAGCAUAGGCUAACUCCGUGCCAGCAGCCGCGGUAAUACGGAGGAUGCGAGCGUUAUCCGGAUUUAUUGGGUUUAAAGGGUGCGCAGGCGGCGUGUCAAGUCUGCGGUAAAAUGUCGGGGCUCAACCCCGGCCGGCCGUUGAAACUGGG